CUUGUUGGUGAGGUAACGGCUCACCAAGGCUCCGAUGGGUAGCCGGCCUGAGAGGGUGGUCGGCCACACUGGGACUGAGAUACGGCCCAGACUCCUACGGGAGGCAGCAGUCGAGAAGCUUCGGCAAUGGGGGAAACCCUGACCGAGCGACGUCGCGUGGGUGAUGAAGGUCCUUGGACCGUAAAACCCUGUCAGGUGGGAUGAAAUGCCACAUGGCGAAUAACUACGUGGUUUGACAGUACCAUCAGAGGAAGCUCCGGCCAACUCCGUGCCAGCAGCCGCGGUAAUACGGGGGGAGCAAGCGUUGUUCGGAAUCAUUGGGCGUAAAGAGCUCGUAGGCGGCUCCGUAAGUCAGAGGUGAAAGCCCACGGCUCAACCGUGGAUGCGCCUUUGAAACUACGGACCUUGAGUUCGGGAGAGGAAAGCGGAAUUCCAGGAGUAGCGGUGAAAUGCGUAGAUAUCUGGAGGAACACCAGUGCGAAGGCGGCUUUCUGGCCCGAUACUGACGCUGAGGAGCGAAAGCUAGGGGAGCGAACGGGAUUAGAUACCCCGGUAGUCCUAGCCGUAAACGAUGGGCACUAGGUGUGGGAAGUUCGACCCUUUCCGUGCCGCAGUUAACGCAUUAAGUGCCCCGCCUGGGGAGUACGACCGCAAGGUUGAAACUCAAAGGAAUUGACGGGGGCCCGCACAAGCGGUGGAGCAUGUGGUUUAAUUCGAUGAUACGCGAAGAACCUUACCGGGGCUUGACAUGCAGUAGACAGACAUGGAAACAUGUUCUCCCCUUACGGGGCUGUUGCACAGGUGCUGCAUGGCUGUCGUCAGCUCGUGUCGUGAGAUUUUGGGUUAAGUCCCGCAACGAGCGCAACCCUUGUUCUUAGUUGCCAUCAGGUUAUGCUGGGCACUCUAAGGAGACUGCCGGUGAUAAACCGGAGGAAGGUGGGGAUGACGUCAAGUCAUCAUGGCCCUUACGUCCCGGGCUACACACGUGCUACAAUGGCUGGUACAGAGGGCUGCAAUGCCGUGAGGUGGAGCGAAUCCCAAAAAAACCAGUCUCAGUUCGGAUUGGAGUCUGCAACUCGACUCCAUGAAGGCGGAAUCGCUAGUAAUCGCGAAUCAGCAGGUCGCGGUGAAUACGUUCCCGGGCCUUGUACACACCGCCCGUCAAGUCAACCGAGUUGAGUGCACCCGAAGUCGCUGAACCAACCCCUCGGGGAGGAAAGUGCCGAAGGUGUGCUUGACC
rnacentral:rRNA from 1 species